UACGUAGGGUGCAAGCGUUAAUCGGAAUUACUGGGCGUAAAGCGUGCGCAGGCGGUUUUGUAAGUCUGACGUGAAAUCCCCCGGGCUCAACCUGGGAAUUGCGUUGGAGACUGCAAGGCUGGAGUCUGGCAGAGGGGGGGUAGAAUUCCACGUGUAGCAGUGAAAUGCGUAGAGAUGUGGAGGAACACCGAUGGCGAAGGCAGCCCCCUGGGUCAAGACUGACGCUCAUGCACGAAAGCGUGGGGAGCAAACAAGG
rnacentral:rRNA from 1 species